CAAAAACCUCGGUCAGUCAGACGUCACAGUGAUGCACUGAUACAGCUGAGAGAUACUGCAGCUGCUGAUGGAGGAUCACAAACAACACAAUGAUAAUGUUUAGCAAAGUUUCUAAAAACUUUUAAAAUUGUGUUUUUAAAAGUGUUUUCUCUCACUCCAGGAUUGAAAGUAGUUUCUUUCACCAGUGGUCGUGGGGAAAAAAAUAAAUAAAUAAUAAUAAUACUAACUAAUCAGAUUUUGUCUGAAAGGAUGAAAGAAAACUUAAUUGUAGACAAGACCCGACAGCAAUGAACAGAAACAAAGGAACUGAAUUACAUCAGAAAACAAGGAUAAUUAACAACACACACCUGAACUGAAUGAUGAAUCAAAUUAACAACCAUGACAACAAACUCAACAGGGGGAAAGUGGAAACUGAAACAAAGUCCAAAAUAACUGAGACUGUGACAGUACGCCCCCUCCUGGACAGGUGAGACCUCACACCAACAGAUGGAUGGAGGAGGCUUCGGUGGAGGAUGGAGAUCCGGAGAGGGAUGAACAAACAGAAAGUCCAGGGUGGUGCAGGUGGAGGAACUGACCAGGGGAUGGUCUUGAACAAGAACAGACAGAUCCUGACCCACACCACAGCCAGGACUGUAAGUUUCAUCAAAAUUUAAAUGUUGACAUUAACUAACCUCAUAUAUAUUAUAUUAUAGCUGUAUAUCACUGUCAUAUGGACAUUACUUUGACACACUCAUCUCUGACUGAUAACUGAAUAUUGACUUAACAAGAGACUAUUUAAGUGACAAAAGAAAUUUUAAGUUAAGAGACACAAAUAAUAUAGAAAUGCAAAUGACCUGCAUGUAUUUGUGAGAUGAUGUGUCAAAGCAGAAGUCGUCUCAAGCUGGUUUUGUGAUCUUGACAAUCAGUUCAAUGUUCUUCAGUGGCCUUCAAGAUCACAGAUCUGAAUCCAACAGAAAACCUUUGGUACAAUAAGAGAUCUGCAGAUAUUAUGGGAUUCAAUCAUGUCAACAUGGAGCAGAAUCCAGAAACCAUCUUGGAAACCUUUUAUCGCGCCUUCAUCAUUAGUUUUUACUGCUUUGCAAAUGUGUUUUUAUCUUAUAUCUUAGAUUUUUACACUCUUGUCCCAGACUCAAACGUUCAGUCUAAGCAUGUGAAAAUCCAUAAAAGAUAUCCUAAUAUUACUACAUUUUAAAUCUAUGAUGACCUAAAUAAACAAAGAGUGAAAUAAACUGAAACAAUUAUUUAAAAAUGAUGACCAUAUAGUUUCAGCAUCAUUUCCAACUGUUUAAGAGACAAUAGUGUCAGUGGAGAUGACUGAGAUUAAAUAUGAGACAUGUGAUGUAUGUGGAAAACAGAGAAAUAAACAUAAAUAUCAGUUAUGAAUGCAAUAUUUGUACUGAUUAUGAUCAUGAUGAAAAAUGAGGCUUAUUGCAGAAUUAACAGUGAUUAACAAUAAAACAUCUAAACUAAAUCUGCAAAUGAUUCCAUUCAUUUCCCUAAUAAUAUACUGGACAAUGAAUAAUAAUCCUGUACAUGCAAAUAUAUUACAAUUUAGCAGUAAAUGUACACUGUUCUUAAAGAGACAUCUUCACUAUGGUGUUUAAAUACACUGAUGACUUUGAUGCCAUCACUGAUCAGUCUGACAGUUGAACUGAGUUUGUUAUGAACUGUAACAUGACGACACAUUCAGUCAGCUGCAGUAUCUCAGUAAAGGCUGUUGAACUGAACUGUUAGACGCUCCAUUACUGACACUGCAGUUCCACACAGUAGAAGAGCACAGUGUGUUUUAAUGCUGCUGGAGCUCAUGGAUGUUGUUCAGUACCAGAGAACUGAGAAAUCUUCCACCCUGAACACUGAUAUUGUGUCAUUCAGAAACACAAUUAAACCAAAGAGCUGCUGCAGUUUAUUACAUCAACUAAUAAUGAGCCCAGAACAGUGUAGAAUGAAUGAUAGAAAGUGUUCAGUGACCUUACAAAAUAUUAAUAAUGACCAAAUCAAUAAUACACAUGAUUCUGUCAAUAGACUUCAGAAACGUGUGUAUAAUUGUUUGACAUGUUUCACAACAUGAGGAAGUUGUUGGAAAAUGUGUUUGUGACUGAUCUACAGUCUUCAGGAUAAUGAUUUAAAUAGAGAGAGUCACUUUGCAUUGUCACACAUGCUUCAGUGCUCUGAGAGUGUUUAUAGUGCUGUGAGUUUAACACUUCAUGACUGAGAGCAGAACAGAACACAAUCUUCAUCAUCACACAAGACAAAAGAUCAACAAUGAACACAAUCACCUUCUUCAUCUGGACUCUCACUCUUUUUAUUCAGGAAUCCAGAGGAGUGACUCUGACUCAACCUGAAGUUAAAACUGUCCAACAGGGUCAAACAGUUACAAUAGAGUGUCAUAUAGAUGUAGGAAUAUACAGCAGCUUGUUAGCCUGGUAUCAGCAGAAACCUGGAGAAGCUCCUAAACUCCUGAUUUAUCAGAUCAACAGCCUCCAGUCAGGAACUCCAUCUAGAUUCAGUGGCAGUGGAACAGCAAAUACUGGACGAGAUUUCACUCUGACCAUCAG